rnacentral:rRNA from 1 species
GACGAACGCUGGCGGCGUGCUUAACACAUGCAAGUCGAACGGUAAGGCCCUUCGGGGUACACGAGUGGCGAACGGGUGAGUAACACGUGGGUGAUCUGCCCUGCACUUCGGGAUAAGCCUGGGAAACUGGGUCUAAUACCGGAUAGGACUCCGGCCUGCAUGGUCUGGGGUGGAAAGCUUUUGCGGGGUGGGAUGGGCCCGCGGCCUAUCAGCUUGUUGGUGGGGUGAUGGCCUACCAAGGCGACGACGGGUAGCCGGCCUGAGAGGGUGACCGGCCACACUGGGACUGAGAUACGGCCCAGACUCCUACGGGAGGCAGCAGUGGGGAAUAUUGCACAAUGGGCGCAAGCCUGAUGCAGCGACGCCGCGUGAGGGAUGACGGCCUUCGGGUUGUAAACCUCUUUCAGCAUCGACGAAGCGAAAGUGACGGUAGGUGCAGAAGAAGGACCGGCCAACUGCGUGCCAGCCGCCGCCGUAA